rnacentral:rRNA from 1 species
UGGGGAAUUUUGGACAAUGGGCGAAANCCUGAUCCAGCAAUGCCGCGUGUGUGAAGAAGGCCUUCGGGUUGUAAAGCACUUUUGUCCGGAAAGAAAUCCUUGGCUCUAAUACAGUCGGGGGAUGACGGUACCGGAAGAAUAAGCACCGGCUAACUACGUGCCAGCAGCCGCGGUAAUACGUAGGGUGCAAGCGUUAAUCGGAAUUACUGGGCGUAAAGCGUGCGCAGGCGGUUUGCUAAGACCGAUGUGAAAUCCCCGGGCUCAACCUGGGAACUGCAUUGGUGACUGGCAGGCUAGAGUAUGGCAGAGGGGGGUAGAAUUCCACGUGUAGCAGUGAAAUGCGUAGAGAUGUGGAGGAAUACCGAUGGCGAAGGCAGCCCCCUGGGCCAAUACUGACGCUCAUGCACGAAAGCGUGGGGGAGCAAACAGGAUUAGAUACCCUGGUAGUCCACGCCCUAAACGAUGUCAACUAGUUGUUGGGGAUUCAUUCCUUAGUAACGUAGCUAACGCGUGAAGUUGACCGCCUGGGGAGUACGGUCGCAAGAUUAAAACUCAAAGGAAUUGACGGGGUCAUAGCUGUUUCCU